AGCAGCCGCGGUAAUUCCAGCUCCAAUAGCGUAUAUUAAAGUUGUUGCAGUUAAAAGCUCGUAGUUGAAUUUCGGGAUCAGUAUGUUGGUCGUGCUUCGGUACGUACUGUCAUUACUGGUUUCUACCUUCUGAAGAACCUUGAUGUCAUUAAUUUGGUGUCUUGGGGAACCAGGACUGUUACUUUGAAAAAUUAGAGUGUUUAAAGCAAGCAUACGCUUGAAUACAUUAGCAUGGAAUAAUGAAAUAGGACGUUUGAUUCUAUUUUGUUGGUUUCUAGGAUCGACGUAAUGAUUAAUAGGGAUAGUUGGGGGCAUUAGUAUUCAAUUGUCAGAGGUGAAAUUCUUGGAUUUAUUGAAGACUAACUACUGCGAAAGCAUUUGCCAAGGAUGUUUUCAUUAAUCAAGAACGAAAGUUAGGGAUCGAAGACGAUCAGAUACCGUCGUAGUCUUAACCAUAAACUGUGCCGACUAGGGAUCGGAUGAUGUUAUUUUAAUGACUCAUUCGGCGUCCGUUACGGGU
rnacentral:misc_RNA from 1 species